AGAGCGAACGCUGGCGGCAGGCCUAACACAUGCAAGUCGAGCGCCCCGCAAGGGGAGCGGCAGACGGGAGAGUAACACGUGGGAACGUACCCUUCAGUUCGGAACAACCCAGGGAAACUUGGGCUAAUACCGAAUACGUCCGUAAGGAGAAAGAUUUAUCGCUGAAGGAUCGGCCCGCGUCUGAUUAGCUAGUUGGUGAGGUAACGGCUCACCAAGGCUACGAUCAGUAGCUGGUCUGAGAGGAUGAUCAGCCUCACUGGGACUGAGACACGGCCCAGACUCCUACGGGAGGCAGCAGUGGGGAAUAUUGGACAAUGGGCGCAAGCCUGAUCCAGCCAUGCCGCGUGGAUGAUGAAGGCCUUAGGGUUGUAAAGUCCUUUCGACGGGGAAGAUAAUGACGGUACCGUAGAAGAAGCCCCGGCUAACUUCGCGCCAGCAGCCGC
rnacentral:rRNA from 1 species